GAAUGCAAUCAUAUCAGCACUAAAGCACCAAAUCCCAUCAGAACUUCGCAGUUUAACGUGUUUGGACGAGAGUAGCAUUGGGAUGGGCAACCUCGAUCCUGGAAAGUCCUUGUGUUGCAUCCU
rnacentral:rRNA from 1 species